CUGUUAUGACAUGAAUAUACAGCCCUCCUCUGAGACAGAGACUCAGCAGAGAGAGAGAGACAGUAGGGAGGGAGAGAGAAAUGGAGAGACAGAAGGAGAAGAGAAAUGGAUAGAAAGAAAGUAAGGGGAAAGACAGAGACACAGGGAUAGAGACAUGGAUAGAGACAUAACAAGAGAGAGAAAGAGACAGACAGAGAGCAAUGUCUCUAUUGAUCUCUCUACCUCUGUCUGUCUUUCUGCUUCUUUCUCUCCAGCAAUCUGUCUUUCUAUCCAUUUCUCUUCUCCUUCUCUUAUCUCUCUCCGUUUCUCUCCCUCCGUAUUGUGUGUCUCUCUUUCUCUCUCUCUCUCUCUCUCGUGGCUUUAUGCCCUUUACAACGAGACGUUUCACUUAUGGGAAAAGGACUGUUCCUAGGAGAGCGGCUCCUGUUUCUGUAGCAUGACACAGCUUGAUACAGGUGCACCCCCUGGACAGGCCGCUAGUCUGUUCCAAUACCACAGGCCUAUAUCGUAAUCUUGUGUUUUCUUUGCUCCUGCAUAGCUACUUUGCGCUUCACAAUAAACUAGCACUCCUGGAAUUGAAUGUGUUUAAAACAGCCUUCUAGUAUUUUCCAUCAGUUGGUAGUACAAUACAAAAUGUCUGAUUCAUUAUGAGUCAGUCUCUUCCAGUCAGACACCUAGAGGGGAAACAUCCUUGUCAGGUGUUGGCUAUAACAGGGGCUAUAACAGGGGUGAUACAGUUUCUGGUCAGGUGUUGGGCUAUAACAGGGGCUAUAACACGGGUGAUACAGUUUAUCUGGUCAGGUGUUGGGCUAUAACAGGGGCUAUAACACGGGUGAUACAGUUUAUCUGGUCAGGUGCUGGGCUAUAACAGGGGCUAUAACAGGGGUGAUACAGUAUAUCUGGUCAGGUGUUGGGCUAUAACAGGGGUGAUACAGUUUAUCUGGUCAGGUGUUGGGCUAUAACAGGGGCUAUAACAGGGGUGAUACAGUAUAUCUGGUCAGGUGCUGGGCUAUAACAGGGGCUAUAACAGGGGUGAUACAGUUUCUGGUCAGGUGUUGGGCUAUAACGGGGGUUUUACAGUUUCUGGUCAGGUGCUGGGCUAUAACAGGGGCUAUAACAGGGGUGAUACAGUAUAUCUGGUCAGGUGUUGGGCUAUAACAGGGGUGAUAGUUUAUCUGGUCAGGUGCUGGGCUAUAACAGGGGCUAUAACAGGGGCUAUAACAGGGGUGAUAUAGUAUAUCUGGUCAGGUGUUGGCUAUAACAGGGGUGAUACAGUUUAUCUGGUCAGGUGCUGGGCUAUAACAGGGGCUAUAACAUGGGGCUAUUAAUAUGGUUGAAUCUGGAAACUAUCAUCUCGAAAACAAAAGUUUUUUUCUUUCAGUGACAUACGGAACCGUUCCGUAUUUUAUCUAACGGGUGACUAAGUCUAAAUAUUCCUGUUAGGCAUCGAUGUUUAUGGUUAGGUACAUUGGUGCAACAACAGUACUUUUUUCACAAAUGCGCUUGUUAAAUCUUCACCCGUUUGUCGAAGUAGGCUGUGAUUCAAUGAAAAUGAACAGGCACCGCAUCGAUCAUAUGCAACGCAGGACAAGCUAGAUAAACUAGUAAUAUCAUCAGCCAUGUGUAGUUAACUAGAGAUUAUGUUAAGAUUGAUCGUUUUUUAUAAGAUAAGUUUAAUGCUAGCUAGCAACUUACCUUUGCUUCUUGCUGCCCUCGCGUAACAGGUAGUCAGCCUGUUAAUCCUUGUGGAGUGCAAUGUAAGGCAGGUGGUUAGAGCGUUGGACUGGUAACCGAAGGUUGCAAAAACGAAUCCCCCCUGAACAAGGCAGUUAACCCCCGUUUCUAGGCCGUCAUUGUAAAUAAGAAUGUGUUCUUAAUCUGACUUGCCUAGUUAAAUAAAGGUGUAAAUAAAUAAAAUAAAAUAUAUAUUUUUUUUAAAUCGGCAAAUCGGUGGCCAAAAAUACUGAUUACCCAUUGUUAUGAAAACCUGAAAUCGGCCCUAAUUAAUCGGUCGACCUCUAGGUGAUAUAUAUGGUUAGGAGUUGGGCUAUAACGAGGGUGAUAUAUGGUUAGGAGUUGGGCUAUAACGAGGGUGAUAUAUGGUUAGGAGGUUGGGCUAUAACGAGGGUGAUAUAUGGUUAGGAGUUGGGCUAUAAUGAGGGUGAUAUCUGGUUAGGAGUUGGGCUAUAAUGAGGGUGAUAUAUCUGGUUAGGAGUUGGGCUAUAAUGAGGGUGAUAUCUGGUUAGGAGUUGGGCUAUACCGAGGGUGAUAUAUCUGGUUAGGAGUUGGGCUAUACCGAGGGUGAUAUAUCUGGUUAGGAGUUGGGCUAUACCGGGGGUGAUAUAUAUGGUUAGGAGUUGGGCUAUACCGAGGGUGAUAUAUCUGGUUAGGAGUUGGGCUAUAAUGAGGGUGAUAUAUCUGGUUAGGAGUUGGGCUAUACCGGGGGUGAUAUAUGAUAUACACUGAG
rnacentral:lncRNA from 1 species